GAUGGAUACACAACUCAGCUCUCAGCAAAGAUCCUUCCCAGCAAGAUGAAGUCCACCACUUUCUUCAUCAUUUCUCUGCUUCUCAUUCUGCAGGAGCAAAUAGCAGUUGGAAUUGGAUAUCAUGGCAGUCCUCCAGGCCAGUUGUCAAAUGAAAUACCUGCAUUUUCAAAAAGACCCAGAGGUUCGCGGGGUUUUGGACAUCAUCGCAGUGUGCAUGUUACAGAAGAUAGUUCUCUAAGCCAACCUGAACCAAAAGUUGGUGACAGUGAUUCUGAUACAAAAUACACACUUAAAGAAAAAGAAACCAUUAUCUCCGAGGAACACAGAUCUGAAAACAAACCUGACAGCUUUUCUUCCAGUGACAGUCACGAGAAUAAGGUAGAAAGUCGUGUACACAGACAUUUCCAUGAAAGACGCCAUAAAACUGAAAAGGAAGAUCAAGGCGGCUAUGAAUUUUCCAAGAAAAGGACCAUCCAGUUUCAACAUGAACACAAUGAAUAAUACGCCCACUGACCAACUGAAUACCUGGACUGAUACCAAGGAGUCACCUAACCUGAGUGAAGACUGUGAUGUGUUCCAGAUGAAGACUUCCACGUGGUCCCACAGCCUCGGUCCAUGGAUGACACCUUGUGCUCACACCUGCUUGUCUUGGGGUUUCUAAACCUGGAGAUUCUUCAAACACCUGCUUUCAAAUAAAAAGAUCACUUUCUGCAUCA